ACAAAUCAGCACCUGCAGGUCAUCAGCUACACACACGUCUAUUCCAGUCUUUAUUACUUUCUGAGGACCACAAUCUCUCAAGGUUAUCUGUGAGGACAGAGAAGACAGAGAAUUACACAACUGGGAAAUGCCAUAAACAAAACGAUGAAACAAAGCUGGAGAACAAUGGAGGAAAUGAACACAUGGAAAAUGAAUUCCUUCUAUUAGGAAAUACUUUGAAUUCCAGUUUCCAGUUUCACAUUUUACAACAACACCUUUAUAAUAAACCGGCCUGGCACCCUCAUCAUGGCUGCAGAACAGUCGCUCCUCCGGGGGAUGGUUAUGUCUGGAUUGUUCUUUCCUGAAAACUAUGGUUGCUAUAAAUUAAACUGACAGGUGUAUCUUCCUGCUGUCAGCUCCAAAGAAAUGACCUUGGACUGAACAUGCAAAGAAAGAAGAUUGCCUUGGACUCCCCCUUUUUUUCAAGAUCAAAGUGUAUUGAGAUUGAGACAAGACCUUGAGGGGCUGAAACCAAGUCAAGACCAGACCAGUGCGUCUCCCACACUGCAUGACACUUAGGAUAAAAUGUGGAACAUGCCAACCAUAGGCACUCCUCAAAAAACAAAUGAAGAUUCCUCUUCAUUCACCUCUUAUUGUCAUAUAGGCCUAUACAUAUAUACUGUAUAUAUGUGUAUGUAUACGUGUACCAUGAGAAAUGUCUUAAUAAAAUCAUCAAAAGGCAUUGCAGAGGUGAAUUUUAUAGGUGGGAAUUUUCAUUUGUUUUCUAUGAGCAAUCACAGUAAUGAUGUUAACAGAUAAAUCAGACAAUAAACAGGCAAUUUAGUGAUAAUCCGGGCAGUUCUGAUCUUGAGAUAAAAUCCAAAGUCCUCUUUGUCUGA